GUAUACAUACACACGUACAAACGCACUAUUGAGACGUUUUGUUUUUUAUCAUAUAUUCUCAGGAAGGACUGAUGCAUUUACUGAGACGGGACGUGAGGGUCUACUCUGCGUGCUCAGAGUUCAAGCCCAGCAGGCUGCAGCGGGCCUGACAUAUUCCGGAACAGCAGCACAGUCUUUGGAUGACUCCUCUGAAGAUGAAAACAUGGCGAGUUCUUCUCAAGAGAAGCAGUACAGGUGUGCCUCAGCUCCACGGUCCCUCCUGCAGCCUCUGCUCCUGAUGCUAACCUCAUGUCUCCAUCACACCAAGCAGCAGACCUGGAUUGACAGACCUUUCUCCAGAGCUGCCCCCUCCCUCUGAAACCCCCCUCUCCAAAACACUAUUUGUGGCGUUUUUAAAGUCUUAUUUGCAUGAGAAUUGUUGAUCAUAACAUUUCCAGCAGAUGCCUUAAUGUAAUGUUUGUGCACAAUAAAUGACAUUGUUCAUAA